AGGCAAUUUAUAGCGUUUGUAAGGCUGUAGUUAACCCCUCUCUCCAAUUUUGGAUAUCAGGAGAAGAAAGUGAUGCAAAGUCUACGAAAAUAUGAAGUCCCGUUGCAAAGAUACAUGGCUAUGAUGGAUCUUCAGGAGAGAAAUGAAAGGCUAUUCUACAAGCUUCUUAUCGAUAAUGUUGAGGAGUUGCUUCCUGUUGUUUAUACCCCAACUGUUGGUGAGGCUUGCCAGAAAUAUGGUACCUUCUUUAGGCGUCCUCAGGGUCUUUACAUCAGUUUGAAAGAGAAGGGUAAAAUACUUGAGGUGUUGAAGAACUGGCCUGAGAAGGAUAUCCAAGUUAUUGUCGUCACUGAUGGUGAGAGAAUUUUGGGUCUUGGUGAUCUUGGCUGCCAGGGAAUGGGAAUUCCUACACUGCACUUGGAGGUCUUCGUCCUUCUGCAUGCUUGCCUAUAACUAUUGAUGUGGGCGCAAACAACCAGAAGUUGCUGGACAAUGAGUUCUACAUUGGGCUCAAGCAAAAGAGGGCAAUUGGUCAGGAAUAUGCUGAUCUUCUACAUGAGUUUAUGUCUGCAGUUAAACAAAAUUAUGGAGAGAAAGUUCUCGUACAUGUUGGUCAUCAAAAUUUACUUGACUAUAUCCGUAAUCAAUUGUUAUGUUUCCGUAAAGCUAGAUCAUGUUGGAAUUCCUUGCUCAGAAGAUAAGGGAGGGAUAUUCUAUGGAAAUAACUUUAUUGGUAAUUCGUAUAAUAUAACGCUAUUUUUGGUAAACGGAUCAGAGUAAUAUAAAUCCAAUAAGUAGAUAUAAAUUUAAUCUUCUUUAUGUGUUAAUUCUGAUAUAUAACA